AUUGAGCGCUGGCGGCAGGCCUAACACAUGCAAGUCGAGCGGCAGCGGGAAAGUAGCUUGCUACUUUUGCCGGCGAGCGGCGGACGGGUGAGUAAUGCCUGGGAAAUUGCCCAGUCGAGGGGGAUAACAGUUGGAAACGACUGCUAAUACCGCAUACGCCCUACGGGGGAAAGCAGGGGACCUUCGGGCCUUGCGCGAUUGGAUAUGCCCAGGUGGGAUUAGCUAGUUGGUGAGGUAAUGGCUCACCAAGGCGACGAUCCCUAGCUGGUCUGAGCGGAUGAUCAGCCACACUGGAACUGAGACACGGUCCAGACUCCUACGGGAGGCGGCAGUGGGGAAUAUUGCACAAUGGGGGAAACCCUGAUGCAGCCAUGCCGCGUGUGUGAAGAAGGCCUUCGGGUUGUAAAGCACUUUCAGCGAGGAGGAAAGGUUGAUGCCUAAUACGUAUCAACUGUGACGUUACUCGCAGAAGAAGCACCGGCUAACUCCGUGCCAGCAGCCGCCGUAA
rnacentral:rRNA from 1 species